GUCAUAUGCUUGUCUCAAAGAUUAAGCCAUGCAUGUCUCAGUACAAGCCGAAUUAAGGUGAAACCGCGAAAGGCUCAUUAAAUCAGUUAUGGUUCCUUAGAUCGUACCCACAUUUACUUGGAUAACUGUGGUAAUUCUAGAGCUAAUACAUGCAAACAGAGCUCCGACCGGCAACGGGAGGAGCGCUUUUAUUAGAUCAAAACCAAUCGGUGGCGGGUCUCCCGUCACCGUACACCUUGGUGACACUGAAUAACUUUGCUGAUCGCACGGUCUCGAACCGGCGACGCAUCUUUCAAAUGUCUGCCUUAUCAACUGUCGAUGGUAGGUUCUGCGCCUACCAUGGUUGUAACGGGUAACGGGGAAUCAGGGUUCGAUUCCGGAGAGGGAGCCUGAGAAACGGCUACCACAUCCAAGGAAGGCAGCAGGCGCGCAAAUUACCCACUCCCGGCACGGGGAGGUAGUGACGAAAAAUAACGAUACGGGACUCAUCCGAGGCCCCGUAAUCGGAAUGAGUACACUCUAAACCCUUUAACGAGGAUCAAUUGGAGGGCAAGUCUGGUGCCAGCAGCCGCGGUAAUUCCAGCUCCAAUAGCGUAUAUUAAAGUUGUUGCGGUUAAAAAGCUCGUAGUCGAAUUUGUGUCCCGCGCCGCCGGUUCAUCGCUCGCGGUGUCAACUGGCGUGUCCGCGGGACGUCCUGCCGGUGGGCUUAGCCUUUCGGCGAGGCCCAAUCUCAAUCCCACCGCGGUGCUCUUCACUGAGUGUCGAGGUGGGCCGGCACGUUUACUUUGAACAAAUUAGAGGUGCUUAAAGCAGGCUAAAAUAUCGCCUGAAUACUGGUGCAUGGAAUAAUGGAAUAGGACCUCGGUUCUAUUUUGUUGGUUUUCGGAACCCCGAGGUAAUGAUUAAUAGGAACGGAUGGGGGCAUUCGUAUUGCGACGUUAGAGGUGAAAUUCUUGGAUCGUCGCAAGACGGACAGAAGCGAAAGCAUUUGCCAAAAACGCUUUCAUUGAUCAAGAACGAAAGUUAGAGGUUCGAAGGCGAUCAGAUACCGCCCUAGUUCUAACCAUAAACGAUGCCAGCUAGCGAUCCGCCGACGUUCCUCCGAUGACUCGGCGGGCAGCUUCCGGGAAACCAAAGCUUUUGGGUUCCGGGGGAAGUAUGGUUGCAAAGCUGAAACUUAAAGGAAUUGACGGAAGGGCACCACCAGGAGUGGAGCCUGCGGCUUAAUUUGACUCAACACGGGAAACCUCACCAGGCCCGGACACCGGAAGGAUUGACAGAUUGAGAGCUCUUUCUUGAUUCGGUGGGUGGUGGUGCAUGGCCGUUCUUAGUUGGUGGAGCGAUUUGUCUGGUUAAUUCCGAUAAC
rnacentral:rRNA from 1 species